rnacentral:rRNA from 1 species
GACGAACGCUGGCGGCGUGCCUAAUACAUGCAAGUAGAACGCUGAAGGAGGAGCUUGCUUCUCUGGAUGAGUUGCGAACGGGUGAGUAACGCGUAGGUAACCUGCCUGGUAGCGGGGGAUAACUAUUGGAAACGAUAGCUAAUACCGCAUAAGAGUAGAUGUUGCAUGACAUUUGCUUAAAAGGUGCAAUUGCAUCACUACCAGAUGGACCUGCGUUGUAUUAGCUAGUUGGUGGGGUAACGGCUCACCAAGGCGACGAUACAUAGCCGACCUGAGAGGGUGAUCGGCCACACUGGGACUGAGACACGGCCCAGACUCCUACGGGAGGCAGCAGUAGGGAAUCUUCGGCAAUGGACGGAAGUCUGACCGAGCAACGCCGCGUGAGUGAAGAAGGUUUUCGGAUCGUAAAGCUCUGUUGUAAGAGAAGAACGAGUGUGAGAGUGGAAAGUUCACACUGUGACGGUACCUUACCAGAAAGGGACGGCUAACUACGUG